rnacentral:tRNA from 1 species
ACCUGGGUAGCUCAGUCGGUUAAGCAUCUGACUUCGGCUCAGGUCAUGAUCUCACAGUUUGUGGGUUCGAGCCCCGCGUCAGGCU